GGAGGAGAAUUUGCCUUGCUUGUUGCACUUCUGAUCUUCUAUUCACCCAUAAACCCUCGAUUUACCUUGAUUUAGAGCAUUGUUUGAGCUAUACAUUCACCAUUGUUGCUCGACUAAUGCAUUUCCCUAGGAGCAUUGAACCUACUUGAUAGUUAGAGGUUGAAGAAGAGCCCGUAUCUUAUCCAUCUGAGCAUUUUCUGCUUCAAAUGAAGACUAGGUUAUAGUCUGGAUUCACAAACUCAUGCACUGAUUUGUCAGUUGAAGCCAAGAUUAGGUGCAAUGAGUGGGUAUUGUUAGUCAAGUUGAUCACCUUCCACACUUUGAGUGCUUUCCAUAUAUUGUUGUCUCCAUCAUCAGAGUAUUCGCUCUUUUCCCAUUCAUAUAGAGAGAUGUCAGAUGUGUGGGCUAGCUGCACCUUUAGCAGUUGGCAAGGGAGAGUCUCAAUCUGUCUGGCCAAGUAGUACACUAGAAGUAUUCCUGGUGCAACAAUGGGAUUCAUUAUGAUUCUUCAGUCGAGCUCCCUUCUCCUGGUUGCCAUGUUGGGCGCAAAAACUUAGCAUCGUUGGUCAAUAGAGACUGUAGUAUUGCAGUUUGCAAAGUCAAUGAUCACAUCAGCAAUCUCGGAUGGUGAUAGCAGUAUUUUUAUUUCUGUGUUAUAUAUCGAUCUCAAUAAUGGAGAUACAUGGAUGGUGGUAGUGUAGAGGACGGACGACUCAGAUUCCACGAUUGAGAUGUGGAAAAUCCGUGUUAAUUUCAACGUGAAGUGGUUUUGUGUACGUCAGUCUCCCAACCUAUAAUGAAUGGUGACGGGCCAAGCUCCAAGGAUUUCAGGAACCAACAGUGGAGAGUUUGUUUGUUUAUGUGGCAUCUGAGUCGUCUCAUCUCCCUAUGAUCCAUCCAUUAGUCUUAUACUCUUAUUACCGUCCGAGGUUGCUGAUGCGAUCAUUGCCUUUCAAUUUACAAUACUACAGAAUCCUUGUUGAUCAACGAUGCAAAGUAAGCCCCCAGAGGGAGGGAACUCGGCAGCAACAUCCAAAUGAAUCCAAUAUACUGUUGCACUGGAAACAAUAAUAAUAGAGCAGACGGCAUUGUACGAGUGCAAAAGCAAAUGCAAAGAGAAAGACACGUCUAUCUACAGUCUAUAUAUGAAUGAGAAAAGAGCAGAAGUUGUGGUUGGAAUAUGGUUGUAAUAAGCUGUGGGAGGCGAUCAACAUGAACAAUAAUACUCAACCAUUGCACCUAC